ACUUCCUCCCCAUCCGGUGCGUACAGCAGGAGCUGCUUGAUGUGGGAAGGCUCCAGCCGGUCCGUCUCCAUCGUCAUGAGAAUCUGGCGCAGCUCCAUGUGCGAGAGCUUGAGGCAUGAGAGUUGGCUCUGGAAGAGAAACUGAGAGAUUUAAUCAUGGGUAAGGACAGGCUCAGCCAGCUCCAGCGGGAAGAAAACUGUCCUGAAAACAGGGAAACCAUGAGUGACAGAACUGAUGCUUUGCACACAGCAAUGGCUCCGGGAAUCCUUGAAUUCAGCGAUUCAAAGAUCUCCUCAAUGGAGGACUCGGUUGGAGCUGAAAAAGGCAAAACGAGAGGUGAAACACACAGAAAACCCCAGACUGCCCAGGAACACCCCCAAAAUGGUGAAUCCCAUUUCAUCCCACUUCCACUGCCAGUCCCAGCUGUAUCUGCCUGCUCUGGCUUAGCUCUGCCCAUGCUGCCAUCAUGUAUCAUGUCCCUUGCAGGAGAGCUCAGCCAUCCCAUUGGCAUUUUGCUUUUCCCAGUGUAAACGAGGCGGCCACACUGUCCCACAGCUCCCUUUGGGAAUACUGUGGGGGAUAGGAGCCCUCUGCUUGCACCCUGAAUGGCUCAGUCCAAGGGUCUGCAGGAGACCCCUAUGCAAGAGCAAGAGGGGUGGCAUAUGGGGUAGCUACAGACCCUAUUCACAGGUCUUGGGGGGAACUAGCUGAUUAUAUGUGUAAAAAGAGAA